GGGUCAGUGAUGACAAACAAUGUCAUGAAGAGUGAUGAUGACAUAAAAAUCAAGCAUUAGAGGGUGAAUUGAGGCCC